AGUGAACGCUGGCGGUAGGCCUAACACAUGCAAGUCGAACGGCAGCACAGUAAGAGCUUGCUCUUACGGGUGGCGAGUGGCGGACGGGGGAGGAAUACAUCGGAAUCUACUUUUUCGUGGGGGAUAACGUAGGGAAACUUACGCUAAUACCGCAUACGACCUACGGGUGAAAGCAGGGGAUCUUCGGAACUUGCGCGAUUGAAUGAGCCGAUGUCGGAUUAGCUAGUUGGCGGGGUAAAGGCCCACCAAGGCGACGAUCCGUAGCUGGUCUGAGAGGAUGAUCAGCCACACUGGAACUGAGACACGGUCCAGACUCCUACGGGAGGCAGCAGUGGGGAAUAUUGGACAAUGGGCGCAAGCCUGAUCCAGCCAUACCGCGUGGGUGAAGAAGGCCUUCGGGUUGUAAAGCCCUUUUGUUGGGAAAGAAAAGCAGCAGGUUAAUACCCCGCUGUUCUGACGGUACCCAAAGAAUAAGCACCGGCUAACUUCGUG
rnacentral:rRNA from 1 species